GCCUCCUUUUGGAAAAACGUCAAUGGCAAUCGUGGAGGCAGCGAGGAGAGAACGAAAAUGGCUUGUAUGAAAUUAGCAAAUUAUGUUUUACAGGGGUGGGCCCGCCACACUUGUAAAGUGCUAAACAAAUUAAGUUAAUUGUGAAAUACAUUUUAUAUAUAAUCAAAGGAGAAUAUAGAUUUUAAAUGUGCGCAUGCUUUUCUCCGACAAUAGCCUACGUCUGAUACAAAGGGGGUGUGGCAGAUAUCAAAACUCUUCCGCAGUAGGAUUCACUUGUCUACCUUGCCAAAAGGUGGCUAUCGAGUAAGGGAGGACCAUCUUCCGUUUGUCUACUAAGGAAUUGACACACUCCUCGACCACUUGACACAGAGAGAGAGCGAGCGAUUGAGGACUCAUCAUGGCUAUAACCCGUUUUAGAAAAAGGGGUGCGCGCUUCUGGAGUAACCGCGGGUGUGUGGCCGUACCAGAGAGGAAGAGGCGAUGUGAGAGUGUUUACUCCGUCCAAAAUCUGUCCAGGAAGGUCUGAUCAUCUGAAGAAGCGGGCCACAAUGCUGUUGAUGUUGGUCUUCUGGAGGCGAAGGUGGUCUGUUCUGCAACUUGUCCACCUCUUGGUAGAUCUUCAGAGCUCCGUGAGCAUCAUAGGGCUUCAGGUAACGCUUGAAGAAGUCCAGGUUGGUGGGACUUUUCAUCUUCCCUAAAUACCUUGGUCUCAUGGAUGAUCUUUGGGCAAAGCUGUGGUCCUUCUUAACCGGACUACUGGUGGAUGUCACCACUGGCUUCUCUAAAGGACACAUUUUUACAGUAUGCCAUCUUGGGGUACUUCGAAGCCAUGGUUUGAAAUGGAAGGUCGUACAGAUCUGAGGAGAAGAUCCAUAAUUACAACUUUCUGUCGUAUCCUUGCAUUAUUCGGUACAACUUUUGUCCGUAGAGUACUUCUACUACAACCAAAUGGCAUUAAUUAUGUUCUUACUGGUAUUCCUGUAGUGCAGGUGGAUUAAGCCUUCCAUCCUGACGUCCUCUAAGGGCAGCAAGGCUCAGGUCUCCUCAGUGAGAGGCUCAGUACAGGCCUGCCAGUGAGCCAGAGCCUCCCUCGUCCUCCUCACCUCCUGCUCUGGAGCAGUGGGAGCACUAGAGGGCGCUGUCACUCCGCGACUCACUUUCCCCGUGACCUCAUUCUGAGUGAACUGAGAGAAAUCAAUAGAGGAGUAGAACUACAGGAGGAUCUGGCGUAGCUGUUUCCAAAUUCCUCUAUUCUAAAAAUAAGAUUAGAAGUUAGUUUGUCUUUAUCCAGAAAGGGAUAACCUUGUACUGACACUGAAUACAUGAGUUUGUAAUCAAGGGGUGAAGAAAAAGUAUAGAAAAUACAUGACUGUCCAUGUUAUCACUUUGCGGUCAAGCACAUACUGCAGUCAAAGGUUUAACACUCACCUGGUAUCAUUUCUGCUUGGCCAUGUAAAUCCAGGGCAUCAUAUUUCCAGAGGGGAGGUGGCAGAUUGUGGUCUCCAUACAGGCAUGAGAGGGAAUUAUGGGAUCACUGCUCCUGCUGUCCAGGCUGGGCAGGCUCUUGGAUGGGCGGAUGGGCAGGACUGGGAGGGGGCCGGUGCUGGACCCAAAGGUAACAGAACUCAACUUUUUGAGGAGAGGAGUACUGGUACUUAUCUUUGAGCUCCCACUUCCUCCCUCUUGCCACUAGGCUAACCCCUGUAUGCAUCCCAAAUGGCACCCUAUUCAAAGUACUACUUUUGACCAAGGUCUUUGGUCAACAGUUGUGCACAAUAAAGGGAUAAGGUGCCAUGUGGGACGCAGACCCUCCUGCGUUACCAGCGGGGAUGCAACAGGUGGUCAUGAUGCUGGAGCCCUCUGUGAGGUGGACAGUCCUGAUGACAGUGAGCAGGGCCUGGUAGCGGUUCCUCUGAGUCUCAUCCUGCUGCCAGUCUAUCUGGAGCACUGCACUCUCACAGUGAAUGUCACCCGCUCCUCUUCUUCAGGUACACGAGACACACACACCCACCCACGCAGGCAUGCACGCACGCACACACAAAGGGCUACUCCCACAUACAUUUCUGUAACUUAUCUCAGGGGUAUAUUUUUUUCUUUUUUUAUAGCUUUGGUACUAUUUUUGCAAGUAUGUGGUGAAUUUUCAAAACUCUUACUAUAAAACACCAAACUGGUAACACUUGUAAGGCAGCCAGUUUUACAUUCAAAACCGUUUAUUCUGCAUUCAUUUUGAAUGUUUACUGUGAAAUAUAAUAAGCACAUUGGUUUAAUCACCAAAACACAACAUAAUGAUAUCGUCUCAAUUGAGUUAUUUUAACAACUAAUUAUUCCAAUAGCAAAAAAUGUAAGAUACAUGUUUAAAAUUUCCCAUGUUUAAAAAUUUCCCAAGUUUAAAAAUUUUACAGUGUCGUAGUAUGCUACAACACUGUAAAUUACAGUACAUUACACUGUUUUCACAUUAGACAAUACAUUUUCACUACCCAUUAAAAUUGACUGAACAUCACAUUUCCAUAAUUUGAUCCCAUGUGUGAUCAUUGAAGACAUAUUUCACAAUUUAAAGAAAUUAAAGAAACAAUGUUUAGCAGGAGCUAGUUUGCAACAAGCCUGUCUUGAGCAUUUGGCCUAAGGUUCUCAUCGAAAUCAUGGUAAAUAUUCUAAUUGUUCAUGUUCCUGGGGAAAUCCUUUUGAGUUUUGUACUAAGAGUUGUGAAAAUGUACCACAUACUUGUGAAAAUUGCACCAAAGUGAUUAAAAACUGUAUGAACACAAAUUUAUACUUUUCAAGGCCGUAAAAGAUUGUGAAGGAGUUUCUAAAACCUAAAUCAUCUGAGACAAUAAAAAUACAUACCAUGAGUGCCUUUGACAAAAGAGCAGAAGCGCCUCAUCCCUCUCACACUGCCCAGGCAUCUCUUCAGCAGCCACUGGUCCGCAAAUGUCCAUUUCACUUCAUCUGACAAGGGAAAAACACAAUGGACAGGUGGGAAGACAAAAUACACUGAACAAAAAUAUAAAUGCAACAUGUAAAGUGUUGGUCCAAUACUUCAUGAGCUAACAUAAAAGAUCACAGAAAUUGUCCAUAUGGAAAAAGCUUAUUUCUUUCAAAUUUUGUGCACAAAUGUGUUUA